UGGGGAAUAUUGGACAAUGGGCGCAAGCCUGAUCCAGCCAUGCCGCGUGAGUGAUGAAGGCCUUAGGGUUGUAAAGCUCUUUCGCCGGUGAAGAUAAUGACGGUAACCGGAGAAGAAGCCCCGGCUAACUUCGUGCCAGCAGCCGCGGUAAUACGAAGGGGGCUAGCGUUGCUCGGAAUCACUGGGCGUAAAGCGCACGUAGGCGGGUCGUUAAGUCAGAGGUGAAAGCCUGGAGCUCAACUCCAGAACUGCCUUUGAUACUGGCGACCUCGAGUUCGAGAGAGGUUGGUGGAACUCCGAGUGUAGAGGUGAAAUUCGUAGAUAUUCGGAAGAACACCAGUGGCGAAGGCGGCCAACUGGCUCGAUACUGACGCUGAGGUGCGAAAGCGUGGGGAGCAAACA
rnacentral:rRNA from 1 species